rnacentral:lncRNA from 1 species
GGGGCCUGCCCAGCCGCGGCCGCAGCCGCAGCCGCAGCGCCAGCGCCGAGGAGGUGCCCCGGCGUGCACGUCCGCACGCCCCGCGCCACGACCCGGCGAGCAGGCGGAGCAGAGCACCGGAGCUUCCACCCGGCCGGUCGCGGAGGGCGCCGCGGAGUGGCCUGGCCUCCGGCGGCCGUGAGGGCCCGUGUUGCACCGCAAGAUGCGGCUCCUCGGCCCACAGCCCGGCCCGCUGCCCUCCGCGGCCUCCCUAGCUGGGUCUCCUCAUCCCGAGCGGUGGGCCGCUGUCAGGAGGUCGAGAGGAGCCGCUCAGUGAACCUAUGUCCGACCCUGGUGACAGCCCUCGGCUCUCAUGAAUUGCUAGAGCCUUCUCUGGAGAAAAGCCCAACCUAGACCUCAAGAUGCUGACAAUUUGAUAAAGAAGAAGGCUGGACAUUUUGUUUUGUAAUACUUCUUUUCACUGAAGAAGUGGCGAUCCCAUUUGAUUUCCAUGUACUAAAUCCCUGUACAAAUCAAUACCACAAAUGCUCAUUGGGCAUCUUUUAUAUGCCUGCAACUCUCCCAGGCACCUGUGGUGGAGACCAUCAAAGAAGAGUAAACAGACUAUGUUAAGUAGACUACCUGGUGUCUAGAAGGAGUGGUAUGUGGUGGACAAAAGCCGAGGUAGUACAGGGGGAGGGGUGGAGAGUGGGGUGCCACUGUCAAUGUCAGGGAGGCCUCAUGGAGGCAGUGACCUGUGAGCAGGCAGGGGAACUGGCCUGCAUGUCUGGGAGUCCAGGAUAGCCCAUUCAAAGGCCCUGGGGUUGGAGUCACUGCUGGGGGUUCAUCUGGUGGACCUGGUGGUGGGUGGGUGGGUUAAAGAAUUGCAGAGAAAAUUAGGAGAUGAAGUCAGAGAGUAAAAGGGGGUCCAGAUUGUGUCAAGCCUUGAAAGCCAUUUUAAGAGUGUUGGGUUUAGUGUGGAGGGUCCUCAAGAAGUUAAAAAUAGAGCUAUCCUACGACCCAUCAAUUACACUACUGGGUAUUUACACAAAGAUACAGAUGCAGUGAAACGCCAGGACACCUACACCCCAAUGUUCAUAGCAGCAAUGUCCACAAUAGCCAAACUGUGGAAGGAGCCUCAGUGUCCAUCAACAGAGGAAUGGAUAAAGAAGAUGUGGUCUAUAUAUACAGUGGGACAUUCCUCAGCCAUCAGGAUGAAGACCCACCAUUUGCUUCGAUGUGGAUGGAACUGGAGGGUAUUAUGCUGAGUGAAGUAAGUCAAUUGGAGGAGGACAAUCAUCAUAUGGUCUCACUCGUAUGGGGAAUAUAAUAAAUAGGGAGGGAUCCCUGGGUGGCACAGCAGUUUAGCGCCUGCCUUUGGCCCAGGGCACGAUCCUGGAGACCCGGGAUUGAAUCCUACGUCGGGCUCCCGGUGCAUGGAGUCUGCUUCUCCCUCUGCCUAUGUCUCUGCCUCUCUCUCUCUGUGUGUGUGACUAUCAUUUAAAAAAAAAAAAAAAAAAAGAAAAAGAACUAGGGAAAGGGACUAUAAGGGAAAGGAGGGGAACCGAAUGGGAAAAAUCAGGGAGACAAACCAUGAGAGACUCCUGACUCUAGGAAAUGAACAAGGGGUAGUGGAAGGGGAGGUGGUGGGGGGACUGGGUGACGGGCACUGAGGAGGGCACUUGAUGGGAUGAGCACUGGGUGUUCUAUAUGUUGGCAAAUUGAGUUUAAAUAAAAUAUCUAAAAAAAAUUAAAAA